GUUUGAGUUGAAAAACUGAGAUUUUUCCACAAACCCACAUAGAAAAAACAAGGAAAACCCUGUUUUUACUCAGCCUUGCGUGCGCCCUGCGCAUGUGGUCAUGUGCAUCGUGGCACGUGGCUUCAACUCCUAUGCGAUUUUGCCUUUUUCUUCGUUCUUUUGAGUGCUUUCUUCCUCCAAAUUAGUAUUCGGACUUGGGACAGAUUUCCAAAAACUUGUAAUAUCUUCAUAGGCUUAUUGAAUCUUUAUUCCAUUUAUUCCACUUCUUCGUGAGGUGUCAUGCUUUGCCGAAUUAUAUGAUGUUUCAAUAGAAUACUUAUAAAAUACCUAUGAAUUUUUCGAUUUAUGAAAAAACUAUAAUUACAUGACUUUAUAUGAAAAUAUUACGAAAUGUCCCUUAAACCAUGCAUGAACAAUUUCUCUAAAACUUUACUUUAGAAUCUUUUCCAAUAUGUUUUCUUCAUUUUUAAUGGACGAGACUUUUAGUCUCUUUCACAAGUUACAACACUAUUCAUUGACUAGAAUGAUGGUGCGGGAAAAUAUCUCUUACCUUAGGCGCUUAUCUUCUCAAUCCCAAGAAAAUGGUACUACAUAUUGAUUUUUGAACGAGGCACGAUCAAACUUUAAAAGGUAA
rnacentral:lncRNA from 1 species